UGCAGCAUUCCGCUGGUCCUUUGAGGAGAAACGUUUUCCUCUAAAGCUCUGCACUGAAUAUCACCAGUCUGCAACCAGUCAUGCAGAAGUCACAGGGACAGCACAGUCUAGGAGAAAUGGGACAGGCAAAAGAACACUGAAACAUGGCACAAGAGGAUGUACAAGGUUUUCUGAGGACCCUGACAGGAGUUAGCCUCUGACCGGUUCUUUGGGGGAAUGGGACCCAGUCUCAUGGCCUCACGUCCAGCCGCUUUUUAAUAUCCCAAGGGCCUGGCCUGGAAGACGAGUGCACCUUCAGGGUUCUGUGGCUCUGGAUUCGUGCUAAUUCUAAGCCGCUGCCCCUGACUGAAGCAUCGCGGGAGAACACGAAACAUUAGGAGCAACAGUCCCCUGACUGAAGAUGAAGAAAUCUGAAAGCAUGAAGGGCCUGUAAUUUUCAUAGACGUAGAAUACUGUCCUGACGAAGGGUCUCGGCCUGAAACGCCAACUGUACCUCUUCCUAGAGAUGCUGCCUGGCCUGCUGUGUUCACUAGCAACUUUGAUGUGUUUUGCUUGAAUUUCCAGCAUCUGCAGAAUUCCUCAUGAAUACUGUUGUUAAUAUUUUGAUGUGCCAUACUUUAAUAUGUGUGUUAUGAUCUUAUAUAAAACAAAUAAAGUUUCAAAUCCAUAGCACUUUCGACAUCAAGCAUUCGAAGUAGGUUGACAAAUACUGUAUCAUAUGAGGACUUUGAUAAUUCUAGCCUUAAAUAAUAACAUGUUGUUAAUCUUACUGACAAGUGCAGCACAUUCCCAGCAUGUCCUGUUUACAUAAUGCUAAUAAUAUUCUAACAUGAAUUGUCUCUUAGAGAUGAUAAGCCAUGUCAGAUAUGCAUGUAGAUUUUGCUGCAAGUGCCCAUUUCCCCUUGUGAAUCUGCCCUGGUGAUGUAAGCUCAAAAACCAGGAUUUGACAUUGUAAGGUAAUUAUAAUGGAUUAUUCAGAAAUACCCAGCUGCUGGCCAUCUGGUAAAACCCUAAGAGUCUCUUAUGACUAGCAGCCAUAAAAAUCCCAUCUUCAUGAAACAGAGCUGUGUGGUUUGACAUAAGACCAUAAGAUAUAGGAGCAGAAUUAGGCCAUUUGCCCCAUCAAGUCUGCUCCAUCAUUUCAUCAUGGCUGAUUGUAUUUUCCACCCAACCCCAAACUUCUGCCUUCUCCCCAUAUUCCUUCAUGUCCUGAACAAUCAAGAAUCUGUCAACCUCUGCCUUAAAGACUUGGCCUCAACAGGUGCCUGUGGCAAAGAAUUCCACAAAUUGACCACUCUCUGGCUAAAGAAGUUCCUCCUCAUCUCUGUUCUAAAAGGAUGCCAUUCUAUUCUGAGGCUGUGUCCUCUGGUCUUGGACUCUCCCUGCAUAGCAAACAUCCUCUCCACAUCCACUCUAUCAAGGCCUUUCACCAUUUGAUGUUUCAAUGAGGUCACCCCUCAUGCUUCUGAAUUCCAGUGAAUACAGGCUCAGAGCCAUUCCCAUUUCCCUCUCUCAUCUUAUCUCCUAACCUGCCCAUCACCUCCUUCUGGUGCUCCUCCCUCUUCCCUUUCUUCGAUGGCCUUCUGUUCUCUCCUAUCAGAUCCCCCCUUCUCCAGCCCUUUAUCUCUUUCACCAAUCAACUUCCUAGCUCUUUACUUCACCCCUCCCUUCCCCUCCUGAUUUCACCUAUCACCUAUCACCUGCUACCUUGUACUUCUUCCUCCCCUCCCACCCCCACCCCUUUUUACUCUGGUUUCUCAUCUUUUCCCUCUAGUUCUGAUGAUGGGUCUCGGCCUGAAAUGUCGACUGUUUACUUUUUUCCAUAGAUGCUGCCUAGCCUGCUUAGUUCCUCCAGCAGCAUUUUGUUGAAAGGGAAGAUUAGUGGCUUCAUUAUACUCACGAAUAAUUGAACCCUCUCCCCUCAUUUGGAUCAUUUGUCUACCUUAGUUCACAUUUUCUCCCUGUUGUUCUAAUCAUCUGUUCCUUCUUCGCCUCACAUGGGUUUACACAAAAUAACUCUCCUUGCCCAUUCCCCUUUGCCUCGCUCCCUUUCUCACCUACAUUUCCCCACUUCUCCUUUUGAGCCAUAUAUUCCUUCAGUCAGCCUCACCCAACACAAUUCCUUCCUCUCCUUUUGUUUUUUCCCUUUUCCCUGAGCCAAUCCAAUUAUCUCCCAACUCCUUGAUUCUGUGUCCCCUGAACGUGUCAUUUGAUUCUCACCCCCUGUGAACAAAAGGAGCUUUAUUUGUUAGUGACACAUGAAAGAUUGCUAUUAUGAAUGAGACCAGCCAUGCAUGACAUUCUCACCCUCUCAGUGAAUUGCAAUAACUUCAUCAAAUUUCUUUGCAUGUAAUUUAUCCAUGGUAAGACCAAAACAUAAUGACUCAGAAGUAUGUUUAUACUCAAACUACAGACAUAAAAGAGAUGGAUACACAAUGUGCAUGCCCAUAAGAAUUAUCUCAAUCAAUGAAUAAUGUGCUACUUGCUUGUUAUUAGGGUUCAGGUGGACAGCCUAUAUACCCAUACUAUCUGUUGGUUAUACAGCAGGCCAUGUGAUUAACGCAAUCUAUUUCUUACUCUACACUGCAGGAAGUUACCCACUAGCACAGCCACCAGCAUAAUUGACAAGGGAUGCGUAACCUACAAUCACAUGCUCAUUCUUUGCAAGUUAUAAUGAAGGCACUUCGAAUUCCAAUGCAAUCAUUGUUCUAUGUGUUAGGCAGAAUUAAUGCUUGUAAAAUGAAAUGUUCUCUGUGUUUAAUGUUAAUCUAAUGAUCGUGCCUUCCUUUGCCACUUCACAGACAUUAGCUAAACUAAAAAAGACUUCAUGUCUAUGUGCUUGCAACUCAAGAUGUCUGCCACACUGCUGAUUCUUAUUUCGUGGCCACUUUACUAGGUACACUUAUUCACCUGCUCUUUAAUGAAAACACCUAAUAAGCCAAUCAUGUGGCAGCAACUCAAUGCAUGAAAGCAUGUAGACAUCGUCAAGAGGUUCAGUUAUUGUUCAGGCUAGCUAUCAGAAUGGGGAAGAAAUGUCAUCGUAGUGACACUGACCUCGGAAAGUUUGUUGCUGCCAAACGGAGUGCUUUCAGUAUCUCAGAAACUGAUCAUCUUCUGGGAUUUUCAUGCACUACCGUCCCUAGAGUUUACAGAGAAUGUUGUGAAAAAUCUCAUGAGCAGCAGUUCUGCGGCAAAAAAUGUUUUGUUAAUGAGUGGUCAGAGGAGAAUAGCCAGACUGGUUUAAGCUGACAGAAAGGCAACAGUAACUCAAAUAAUCAUCUGUUACAACAGUGGUGUACAGAAGAGCAUCUCUAAAUGCACAACACAUUGAACCUUGAGGUGGUUGGGCUACAACAGCAGAAGACCAUAAACGUACACUCAAUAGUCACUUUAUUAGGUACAGGAGGUACUCAAUAAGGUGGCCACUGAAUUACAUAGCAUCUUACUUAACCUCUGGACUUCUGAGUGAACAUAGAGCAAACUCCCAUGGACACCACUGAGAUGUUGACUAAGUAAAAAUAUUACUCAAGAUUUCAUGAUAACUCCUCUAUGGUUCUUCAAAAUAAUCACUUGGGAUCUUCUGCAUUUGCUAGAGAGACUAGCAAUAGCCUUUAUUUAACAUUUUAUCUCAAAGAAAGAUGGCACCCACAAGAAUAGAGUGCUCCCUUAGUACUGCUCCUUUUCAAUCUUACAACAAAUCAGCACUUUGCAAAUAGGAAUAAAUGAAAUUAAAGAAAGUAAAGUACAAUUUGAUGGAUAUCUUCAAGUAUGAUCAUAUUCACACUAGUUUUCACAGUAUAGGUUUACAAAUCAUAUAUGUAGGUG